GCAGAAUGUGCAUCCACCUCUUAAUCCGUUGCUAGCAGCCAGCAACUUAGUAUAUUGGCCUUUCUCACCUCCGCAAUCCACAUCUUGGUCCUGUUAAAGUGCACACAUCAUCAGAGGUCAUUAGCGUCGUCCUCCCUGGCCGGGCACGCUGGGUGGAACAACACAAACCACACUGAAGGAUGGACCGGUGGGUGAGAAAAGGCAGUAGUACUACUUGUUUAUCCUGGUGAGGAGGGGGUUGGACAGCCAGGAAGCUAAGGUGACAAGGAGAUCAUUCAUGGGAGGGAGUGGAAAGACUGCACCUGAAGGGUGACGCUACUGUGGAGGAAAGACAGGCCGGACUGGAAGUGAUCAGCUGAAACUAUUCAACCACACAUCCACCCAAGACAAGACCAGACCGAGUAGUAUUUCAGGAUUUGUCCACGUGUUUUUCUUUUCUUUUCUUUCCUGUUUUUUUUUUUUUUUUUUUUUUUUUUGCAGAGGUAAGUUUUGCAAUCAGGACCUUUUGUUUGUACUCACUACAAAUGAACCCGGAGCGCAUCCAUUUUUUAAUCCACUCAAUGAUUUGAGCUUUAUUUAUAUUUAUUCUAAUGAUGAUUCUCUACAGAGCCGCUUACACCACAGGCUGAAAGUAGAAACGCAUUUGUGCAGUUCCGCACAUGCAAGAGUAUUGAUAACGAAAGAGUGUUUCAUUGCUACAGCACUGUGCAAAAGUCUUGCACCACCCCUUAUUUCUUCAUAUUUGGCGAGGACAGUGGGAAACAGUUGCAGUGAUUUUUGCAUUAAGGCUACAUGCAAACACACAUACAAAUCCAGCAGCAAAAAACUGAAUUCUAACGAAUUUGAAAGUCAAUAUUUGUUAUGAGCACCUUUAUUCUUUGACACAGCCCGAACCCUUUUUGGCAGCUUUCUUGUUAUUUCUUUGUUAUUUCUCUCCAGGCUUCUUGAAAGACAUUCAAAGCUCUUCUUUUAUAUUCUCUGUCGAGAUCCCACACUGCUUCAGUUUUAUUGAGGUCUGGGCUCUGUGGUCAGUCAGUGACUGAUUGUGUAUCACAGUGUGUUUCUCUAUAUGGCAUUGAUUUUACUCCAUAAUGUAUCAAAAAAAUCUGACAGGACUUUUCUGUGUUCAGAAUGAUUUGUUUUGAUGAGAUUUCCAACACCACACAUAACUCCAAAACCCAUGACAGAGCCUCCACCCUGUUUCACAGAUGGCUGUAGACACUCAGUGUUGGACUCUCCUGUCCUCCUUUGUAC
ensembl:lncRNA